rnacentral:rRNA from 1 species
GACGAACGCUGGCGGCGUGCUUAACACAUGCAAGUCGAACGGGCCUGUCUUCUUUUUUGGGGGGUGGGUUGAGUGGCGAACGGGUGAGUAUCACGUGAGUAACCUGCCCUUCGGUCCUGGAUAACCGCUUGAAAGGGCGGCUAAUACGGGGUGGUCCGGUUGGUCCGCAUGGGCUGGUCGGGAUAGAUUCACUGUUUUUGGUGUUUCGGCGGGGGAUGGGCUCGCGGCCGAUCGGCUUGUUGGUGGGGGGAUGGCCUACCAAGGCGGGGACGGGUAGCCGGAGUGAGAGGGGGGGCGGCGACACGGGGACUGGGAUACGGCCCAGAGUCCUGCGGGAGGCAGCAGUGGGGGGUAGUGCACAAUGGGCGGAAGCCUGAUGCAGCGACGUCGCGUGAGGGAUGGACGCCUUCGGGUUGUGAACCUCUGUUCCCGGUGGUGAAGGCCCUGUCCGUGUGGUGGGGUUGACGGUAGCCGGGGAUGAAGCGCCGGCUAACUACGUG